CCUACGGGUGGCAGCAGUGGGGAAUAUUGGACAAUGGGGGGAACCCUGAUCCAGCCAUGCCGCGUGUGUGAAGAAGGCCCUCGGGUUGUAAAGCACUUUCAGUGAGGAAGAACGCCUGGUGGUUAAUACCCAUCAGGAAAGACAUCACUCACAGAAGAAGCACCGGCUAACUCCGUGCCAGCAGCCGCGGUAAUACGGAGGGUGCGAGCGUUAAUCGGAAUUACUGGGCGUAAAGCGCGCGUAGGUGGCUUGAUAAGCCGGUUGUGAAAGCCCCGGGCUCAACCUGGGAACGGCAUCCGGAACUGUCAAGCUAGAGUGCAGGGGAGGAAGGUAGAAUUCCCGGUGUAGCGGUGAAAUGCGUAGAGAUCGGGAGGAAUACCAGUGGCGAAGGCGGCCUUCUGGACUGACACUGACACUGAGGUGCGAAAGCGUGGGUAGCAAACAGGAUUAGAUACCCUAGUAGUC
rnacentral:rRNA from 1 species